GGACGGGUGGUCGAGUGGUUGAAGGCACCGCACUCGAAAUGCGGCGUACCUGCAAGGGUACCGUGAGUUCGAAUCUCACCCCGUCCGCCA
rnacentral:tRNA from 2 species